rnacentral:rRNA from 1 species
GGGUUGUGAGGUUAAGCGACUAAGCGUACACGGUGGAUGCCCUGGCAGUCAGAGGCGAUGAAGGACGUGCUAAUCUGCGAUAAGCGCCGGUAAGGUGAUAUGAACCGUUAUAACCGGCGAUUUCCGAAUGGGGAAACCCAGUGUGACUCGUCACACUAUCAUUAACUGAAUCCAUAGGUUAAUGAGGCGAACCGGGGGAACUGAAACAUCUAAGUACCCCGAGGAAAAGAAAUCAACCGAGAUUCCCCCAGUAGCGGCGAGCGAACGGGGAGGAGCCCAGAGCCUGAAUCAGCAUGUGUGUUAGUGGAAGCGUCUGGAAAGGCGCGCGAUACAGGGUGACAGCCCCGUACACAAAAGCGCAUGUGCUGUGAGCUCGAUGAGUAGGGCGGGACACGUGGUAUCCUGUCUGAAUAUGGGGGGACCAUCCUCCAAGGCUAAAUACUCCUGACUGACCGAUAGUGAACCAGUACCGUGAGGGAAAGGCGAAAAGAACCCCGGCGAGGGGAGUGAAAAAGAACCUGAAACCGUGUACGUACAAGCAGUGGGAGCACAGGUUUACCUGUGUGACUGCGUACCUUUUGUAUAAUGGGUCAGCGACUUAUAUUCUGUAGCAAGGUUAACCGUAUAGGGGAGCCGCAGGGAAACCGAGUCUUAACCGGGCGUUAAGUUGCAGGGUAUAGACCCGAAACCCGGUGAUCUAGCCAUGGGCAGGUUGAAGGUUGGGUAACACUAACUGGAGGACCGAACCGACUAAUGUUGAAAAAUUAGCGGAUGACCUGUGGCUGGGGGUGAAAGGCCAAUCAAACCGGGAGAUAGCUGGUUCUCCCCGAAAGCUAUUUAGGUAGCGCCUCGUGAAUUCAUCUCCGGGGGUAGAGCACUGUUUCGGCUAGGGGGCCAUCCCGGCUUACCAACCCGAUGCAAACUGCGAAUACCGGAGAAUGUUAUCACGGGAGACACACGGCGGGUGCUAACGUCCGUCGUGAAGAGGGAAACAACCCAGACCGCCAGCUAAGGUCCCAAAGUCAUGGUUAAGUGGGAAACGAUGUGGGAAGGCCCAGACAGCCAGGAUGUUGGCUUAGAAGCAGCCAUCAUUUAAAGAAAGCGUAAUAGCUCACUGGUCGAGUCGGCCUGCGCGGAAGAUGUAACGGGGCUAAACCAUGCACCGAAGCUGCGGCAGCGACACUGUGUGUUGUUGGGUAGGGGAGCGUUCUGUAAGCCUGUGAAGGUGUGUCGUGAGGCAUGCUGGAGGUAUCAGAAGUGCGAAUGCUGACAUAAGUAACGAUAAAGCGGGUGAAAAGCCCGCUCGCCGGAAGACCAAGGGUUCCUGUCCAACGUUAAUCGGGGCAGGGUGAGUCGACCCCUAAGGCGAGGCCGAAAGGCGUAGUCGAUGGGAAACGGGUUAAUAUUCCCGUACUUGGUGUUACUGCGAAGGGGGGACGGAGAAGGCUAUGUUGGCCGGGCGACGGUUGUCCCGGUUUAAGCGUGUAGGUGUGUGUUCCAGGUAAAUCCGGUUCACUUUAACACUGAGGCGUGACGACGAGGCACUACGGUGCUGAAGCAACAAAUGCCCUGCUUCCAGGAAAAGCCUCUAAGCAUCAGGUAACAUCAAAUCGUACCCCAAACCGACACAGGUGGUCAGGUAGAGAAUACCAAGGCGCUUGAGAGAACUCGGGUGAAGGAACUAGGCAAAAUGGUGCCGUAACUUCGGGAGAAGGCACGCUGACACGUAGGUGAAGUGAUUUACUCAUGGAGCUGAAGUCAGUCGAAGAUACCAGCUGGCUGCAACUGUUUAUUAAAAACACAGCACUGUGCAAACACGAAAGUGGACGUAUACGGUGUGACGCCUGCCCGGUGCCGGAAGGUUAAUUGAUGGGGUCAGCGCAAGCGAAGCUCCUGAUCGAAGCCCCGGUAAACGGCGGCCGUAACUAUAACGGUCCUAAGGUAGCGAAAUUCCUUGUCGGGUAAGUUCCGACCUGCACGAAUGGCGUAAUGAUGGCCAGGCUGUCUCCACCCGAGACUCAGUGAAAUUGAACUCGCUGUGAAGAUGCAGUGUACCCGCGGCAAGACGGAAAGACCCCGUGAACCUUUACUAUAGCUUGACACUGAACAUUGAGCCUUGAUGUGUAGGAUAGGUGGGAGGCUUUGAAGUGUGGACGCCAGUCUGCAUGGAGCCGACCUUGAAAUACCACCCUUUAAUGUUUGAUGUUCUAACGUGGACCCGUAAUCCGGGUUGCGGACAGUGUCUGGUGGGUAGUUUGACUGGGGCGGUCUCCUCCUAAAGAGUAACGGAGGAGCACGAAGGUUGGCUAAUCCUGGUCGGACAUCAGGAGGUUAGUGCAAUGGCAUAAGCCAGCUUGACUGCGAGCGUGACGGCGCGAGCAGGUGCGAAAGCAGGUCAUAGUGAUCCGGUGGUUCUGAAUGGAAGGGCCAUCGCUCAACGGAUAAAAGGUACUCCGGGGAUAACAGGCUGAUACCGCCCAAGAGUUCAUAUCGACGGCGGUGUUUGGCACCUCGAUGUCGGCUCAUCACAUCCUGGGGCUGAAGUAGGUCCCAAGGGUAUGGCUGUUCGCCAUUUAAAGUGGUACGCGAGCUGGGUUUAGAACGUCGUGAGACAGUUCGGUCCCUAUCUGCCGUGGGCGCUGGAGAACUGAGGGGGGCUGCUCCUAGUACGAGAGGACCGGAGUGGACGCAUCACUGGUGUUCGGGUUGUCAUGCCAAUGGCACUGCCCGGUAGCUAAAUGCGGAAGAGAUAAGUGCUGAAAGCAUCUAAGCACGAAACUUGCCCCGAGAUGAGUUCUCCCUGAGACUUAAAGUCUCCUGAAGGAACGUUGAAGACGACGACGUUGAUAGGCCGGGUGUGUAAGCGCAGCGAUGCGUUGAGCUAACCGGUACUAAUGAACCGUGAGGCUUAACCUUACAACGCCGAAG